rnacentral:lncRNA from 1 species
CCACUGGCCAGACACAACAGUGCUGGAGGAGCUGAGAAUUCUUAUUGACCUGAAGGCUGCUAGAAGAAGACCGGCAGCUAGGAGGAGAGUUUCAAAUCCCACCAAUGUUGACACACUUCCUCAAACAAGGCUCCAUCUACUCCAACAAGACCGCAUACCUGCUAAUAUUGCUACUCUCUGGGCCAAAUUUCUUCAAACCACCACAAGGACAUUCAGGAAUUAUGGUUGAUGACUUUGUU